AAACCCAUAAAUUUCAGGUGUUUUUUGCUUCGAUUUCAUUCUUCAUGAUCAGCAAUCAUUAAGUCAGGUGGAUUUAUGGAUUCUGGUCUUAAAUCCACCUGUUUUGAUGAGUCUCAUUUAGAUAAUUCACAACCUAAUUUAGAAAUGUCUUCUUUAAAAAUCCCCUCAAUUGAUUGCCUGAUGAUUUGUUUGAAGAGGCUUUAAAUCCAUGGAAGUUCUUGCUUAUAGGGAGAUUAAAUUUACAGUAUAUCAAAUUUCACUAGUGGAAAAUGGGAUUUUUAAGUCUGUUAGGAUUUAUAAAUAAGACUACCUAGGGCUUUCUUAAUACAUUUGGCUAUCAACUUUUCAUAACAAAAAUAGAGAAAAGCAAAUCCUUCUAUUUCUUUUUAACGGUAAAAAAGAGAUCUGAAAAUUUAAGAAGAGAGAGUUGUUGAAGAGACGAAAUCAAAUCUCAAAAUCUUUUCGAUAUGUUUCAAUCAAAUCAAAUCUCAAACAAAUUUCAGUAAAACCGUAAUUAUUAUUUUUUACCAAAUCGAACCAAUUUCAGCAAAUCCCUAAUUUUUUCUUCAGCCUUCUAAUAUGACGUUAGGGUUUCAAGAUUCAGCAUGAACAUGUUGAUUGCUGGAGUUUCCCUACACCAAGAUGAUUUUGAAUUGCUGCUGUUAACGAUUCGUUUAUUGCAAUUGAUUACAUGACAUUCAUGCUUAAGUAAGACACCGUUCAAGGUCAACAGAAGCACCACGAACUCAAGGUUAAGGACAGCAACAACCUCAUCUUCAAUGAAAAGCAAGUUGCAGUCUUUGGUUGCAGAAACCCUGAGGAAAUCGCAUUGGCUGAGUCUGGAGAUGAAUACAAUGUUGAGUCACUGUCUAGGCAAUCACCGCAACACAGAAGACUGUUGAUGGUUCAUCAAGCAAGGACUGGAGAGGUGGAACGGAUGCUUCAUUCUUAGCAGCACUUUUGCAGCUAAGGUAGGUUCAGAAAGCCCUUACAAAAGUUCUAGAAUCAUCAGAGUGCCUUGAUGGAGCUGAACUUGUUGAAAAUGAUGAGGUUGAUGCACAGAUGACUCCCCAACCUGUAAAUAAACUCAAGAGUAAGUGGACAGAGACCUACUCGAUGUAGCGUGGACAUUUAGGCGUAUCUAUCUUGGUCAACCACGAGACGUGUGAGGCUCAUUAUGCACUAAGAACUUAUUUGACAGGUAUGUUGUGCUGCUCAGUUCAUCAUCAUAUAAUUCAUCAUUUUGUUGGGUUUCCCUUAUCUUUAAGAAAGCUUAGAACUUGUAUUGGUGUUAGUUCAUGUUUUGUUUAUAAUUUUUUGGUUAUUCAGAACCCAAGUGUCAAUUGAAAUCAGAUAUGAUCAGUGUGUUGUACAUAUAAUGAAUUCAAAUUUUAAUCGAAUGGGAGUGUUUCAACU